rnacentral:lncRNA from 1 species
UGGAUAAAAUCAAUAUUACAGAAUUGAUUUGAGACCUAAUCAGAUAGUCAUGCUUAUACUAAUAUGGCAAAUGCGCAUAAUCCAUAUGCAAGGGUACUAUCGUAUACAGCUGAUAACACGUGAACGAAGCAAAACCUUCACGGCGUUAACAAACUGUGAGUGGGUCCCUGGUGAAGCCAACUCCACCAUCCACAUGUUCCG